UACGUAGGGGGCAAGCGUUGUCCGGAAUUAUUGGGCGUAAAGAGCGUGUAGGCGGUCCGGUAAGUCAGCUGUGAAAGUCCAGGGCUCAACCCUGGGAUGCCGGUGGAUACUGUCGGGCUCGAGUCCGGAAGAGGAGUGUGGAAUUCCUGGUGUAGCGGUGAAAUGCGCAGAUAUCAGGAGGAACACCAAUGGCGAAGGCAGCACUCUGGGACGUGACUGACGCUGAGACGCGAAAGCGUGGGGAGCAAACAGG
rnacentral:rRNA from 1 species